rnacentral:lncRNA from 1 species
CUCUUCUAUUGCAGAUAUGUUAGGAAUUGUAUAUUGAUAAACUGUGCAUUCAUUUUACCCUUCAAUGACAUGUAUUUUUGGAACUGCAGGCUGCUGCUUAGGUCUUCUCUGUCCAGAGUAUCAGAUUUAAUAUCAAGGUAAUAUUAAUAUGGUUGAAGAUGAAAGCAGCUUCUAAUUUUUCAUUCCAUGGAUUUUAUUUCUUUUGUGGCAAAGGAAGCUUCUUUUUCUGUUUUGGUGAUUUGAAAGUAAGAAAUAUUUUGUUAAGCUAUAUGAAAAGUAAGCAAUAUUUUGUUAAGCUAUAUGAAAAGUAAUACAAGUGUGUAGUGGACCAGCAACGUCCAGUAGAUGUAGAUGGAAUCCCAAUUGAUCAAUAGAUGCGAUAUUUGCUUCAAGUUCUAUAACCAACUGGCAUUGAGAUGCUUCUUUACUGGUUGACAAGGACAUUUACAGACAUGUUUUAUUAACCAGUUUCAGAAUGAGGCUAGGUAUAUGUGAAUACUGUGAUAUAGUAAAAUCAUUUUCUCCUCUUUUUUUUCUUGCAGGUGGUGGUAUUGUUGUUGGCUGCUGCCUAUUAUUGUACUUUAUUAUUAUGAGGUUAUUAUGUCACAUGUUUUACUAGAAUGUCAUAGAAGUUCAUAGUGUAUCAUGAUAUUUAUUCUUGUUUGCCUAUGUAUUCUUGUUAUUGAGACUGUAAUAGCAAGAUCAAGAGUAAUAAUAACAGCAUUGAUGCUUCAAAAAAAAAAAAAUUAGUAAUUGAUUUGAAUUUCUCACGGUC